rnacentral:lncRNA from 1 species
ACUCUCUAGUUAGUGAUCGUGAGAGACAGGUUUUUAUAGGACAACUACGAAUGGUUAGAAGAAUAAAGAUGAAAAAUGUAGCCCGAAGAAGAAGGAAAAUAUAUUUCAAACUAUGUUGUUUUCUUUAUGAGAUUUGCAUUAGUUUUUUUGUGUCUUCUAUGGUUUAUCUUCUUAUAUAUUUACUUAGCUAGAACAAAAAACUGUUAUGGGA